CUAUAAAAUAGAUAAAGAUUGAUUUUAUGUAAAAGAAAUAACAAAACCCUAGAAUAGAGGCUUUAAAUGUUGUUUCUUUAUUCUUUACAGAGAAACGCAAUUUCGCCUUUAUUUCAUGCACCAUAGUGUGUCACUAUUAUAAAACAACAUUUUCUGCAAAUAUUUCAAGAAAUAUGGAAAAGUUAAGAUUUGAUUUUGCUGUAAAACCUGCGGCAGAUGGAAAAUCAAACGUUUUAUGUAUAUCAUCAAUCGCUACACCCGGUGGGCAGAUUUUUGGAUUACCACCGGAACACCAGCCUGUGCAAAUGCAUCCAGCUAUAAUAAAUACUUCCAACUUUGCGAAAAUACGGAAAUCGUUAACUAAAAGGCAUCAAACAAGAAAAAUUUGGAUAACUUUGACAGAAGAGAUAUCAAAAGUAUACUUGGAUGAGGAGGAAAACAUACAGUGUAAUGAUAUUUAUUUGGAAGAAAUUUCAGAAACAAAUGUUGAAUCUAUGCCAAGCGGUUCAAAUGAAACAUUGGAAAAAUUUUUAGAAAAAUUGCUUGACGAAAAACAGAAGAAGUCUGAAACACAAAAUUUAGGGAAAAUUGCAAAGGAUUUCAUGAUUAACAAAUUUUCCGGGCGAAACUCAAAUGCUUACCAGUGGAUACAAGAUUUUAACAAAGAAUGUGAACGUUUCCAAAUUGUUGAAGAUAGGAAAAAAAUUGAAAUUCUAAAAAACUUCUUGGAGUACUCCAGUGUUGAUUGGUACAGUUGUAUGCUAUUAAAAUUUACUGUAGAAUCUGAGUGGAGUAAAUGGGAGAAAAACUUCUGUGAGACGUUUGCAAACAAAGGAUGGUCACCCAUUAGAUAUGCUCUUACCUUUAAAUAUCAGGCAGGUUCGUUACUUGAGUAUGCCUUAAAGAAAGAAAAACUGUUACUGGAAAUAAGAAAAUCAACCGAUACUGGAACACUGAUCGACCUUAUAGCACUUGGUCUGCCUAAUUAUGUAGCGGAUAAAAUUGAUCGUGAAACUUUGCAACAGACGGAGGACUUAUAUAAUGAACUAGGAAAAUUGGAACACAUGGUUGGAAAGAAUAAAUAUGAUAAAAAAAAUCCUACAUCUCCAGAUAUGAAAUCCAAGAAAGUUGAAGAAAAAAAGCCAUGCCAAGUUUGUAUAACUGAAAACAAAGGGACACGCUACCAUCCCGAAGACAAAUGCUGGUUUAAAGGGAAAAAUCAAAAAGCAAUUGUGAAAAGUGUGAAUAACUCAGAAUUGGAAGUUGAGCUGAAUGAGCAGAAUCCAAAAAACUAGAAGUACCACCAUUAAUAAAAGUAAAGUUGCUGUUAAAUGAUACAUUAAAAGUGUCUGGGAUUUAUGACCCAGGUUCGAAUGUGUCAUUGAUAAAUUCUAAAUUAUUAAAGAUAAAAGAUAAAGAAAAGACAACUGAUAUAGAAACAGCAAACUUGAAUACUAUUAAUGGUGCGAAGAAAACAAAAGGUAUAAUAACACUCAAAAUAAAAAUAUAUAAAAUUGAGUCAAAUAUGGAUAUUUUCGUCAUAGAAAAUCUUCCUUAUGAUUUUCUAAUAGGUUUGGAUUGUAUAAAAAAAUUCAAAUUAAUGCAAGAUGAUGAAUUGAACAUUUUACAAUAUAAUAGUCCAGAAGAUAAAAAGAAGUUCCUGAAUGGAGAGAAUAUAGAAAAAGAAGAGUUGAUAAGUAAUUCUUCAAAUGUAUCUAACGUCAAUAUUCCUGAUGUACUGGGUGACGAAGAUGACGAUAUUACUUGUACGGAGAUAUUACUAAAUAAAGAGAUUAAAAGCAGAUAUGAAAUAAAUUUUAACGAACAUAUUAAUUCAGAUGAAUUUGAAAUGUCAGUAAACCAUCUAGAUUCAUAUCAACAAAGAGAGAUUGACAAGUUAAUUGAAAAAUAUAAAUCAGUCUUUGCUAAGGAUAAAUAUGACAUUGGCACUGUACGUGAUUAUGAAGCUCAUAUAGACUUGAUGGUGGACAAGUACUGUAGCAAACGUCCAUAUAGAUGCAACACAGAAGAUAGAAAAGAAAUAGAAGGACAAAUAUCGAAACUACUAAAGAACAAAUUAAUUGAAGAAUCUUAUAGCCCGUUUGCUGCUCCGGUGACUUUGGCAUAUAAAAAAGAAGAUGGAAAACGAACAAGGUUAUGCAUAGAUUUUAGAGAGUUAAACAAAAUCGUCGUUCCACAGUCACAACCAUUCCCGCUGAUUGAGGAUUUAAUGGUAAAAACUGUAAACUGUAAGUACUUUUCUACUUUCGACGUAAAUUCCGCUUUUUGGUCAAUACCUUUGAAAAUUCAAGAUAGAUACAAAACUGCAUUUGUUACCCAAGGAGGCCAUUUUCAAUGGACGUGCCUUCCGUUUGGUUUAAAGACUGCUUCAGCAAUUUUCCAAAGAAUAUUGAGCAAUAUCAUUAGAAAACAUAAGCUUUCUGAUUUUGCGGUAAAUUUUAUAGAUGACAUCUUAAUUUUUUCGAAAACUUUCAAUGAACACAUACAACAUAUAUCUAGACUACUCGAGGCAAUACUAAGAGAAGGGUUUAGACUUAAGUUCUCUAAAUGUAGUUUUGCAAACAACCAUGCUAAAUAUCUCGGUCAUAUAAUCGAGAACAAUUCAGUCAGACCACUUAAAGACUACUUAACCGCAGUGAGGGAUUUUCCAGU